CUACGGGCGGCAGCAGCCGAGAAUCUUCCUCAAUGGCCGAAAGGCUGAAGGAGCGACGUCGCGUGUAUGAAGAAGCAUUUCGGUGUGUAAAGUACUUUUAUUAGGGACGAAUCAAUGACGGUACCUAAUGAAUAAGGGGCUGCUAACCUCGUGCCAGCAGCAGCGGUAAUACGAGGGCCCCGAGCGUUAUCCGGAUUUAUUGGGCGUAAAGGGUCCGUAGGCCGUUUAUCGCAUCUCCUGUUAAAUCCCGAGGCUCAACCUCGGAACCGCAGGAGAGAUGGAUAAACUAGAGACCGGAAGAGGUAAGCGGAAUUGCUGGUGUAGGGGUUAAAUCCGUUAAUAUCAGCAGGAACACCAAAUGCGUAGGCAGCUUACUAGGACGGUUCUGACGCUAAAGGACGAAAGCGUGGGGAGCGAAUGGGAUUAGAUACCCGUGUAGUC
rnacentral:rRNA from 1 species